rnacentral:rRNA from 1 species
AAUUUGAAAUCUGGCCCCUUCGGGGUCCGAGUUGUAAUUUGUAGAGAGUGCUUCGGGGGAGACCGCGGUCUAAGUCCAUUGGAACAUGGCGUCCCAGAGGGUGAGAAUCCCGUAUGUGACCGUGGCUCGAACCCAUGUGAAGCCUCUUCGACGAGUCGAGUUGUUUGGGAAUGCAGCUCAAAAUGGGUGGUAAAUUUCAUCUAAAGCUAAAUACGGGCUGGAGACCGAUAGCGCACAAGUAGAGUGAUCGAAAGAUGAAAAGCACUUUGGAAAGAGAGUUAAAAAGUACGUGAAAUUGUUGAAAGGGAAGCGCUGGCAACCAGACCUGCCCGUAGGCGAUCAGCCGCUGUUCUCAGCGGUGCACUCGCUCUGCGAUCAGGCCAGCAUCGGUUCCGGCGGUCGGACAAAGGCCUUGGGAACGUACCUUCCCUUCGGGGGAGUCUUAUAGCCCUCGGUGCAAUGCGGCCAGCCGGGACCGAGGACCGCGCUUCGGCUAGGAUGCUGGCGUAAUGGUUGUCAGCGACCC